rnacentral:lncRNA from 10 species
CGGAGGACAGCAGCGAUCGCCAAGGCUCAAGGGGUGUCAACCAGGAACCUUGUGAUGCGUGAGGAAAAAAUAUUACCUUUUCCCCCUACUCUUUCUGGCACCCAACAAACAAGUGGGGUGGCAAAGACACCCCACUUGGGACAACUGGCAAAAGCUCUAUGAUCAGAAGAUGGCAUAAGUGGGGCUGGGCACAGUGGCUCAGUGCCCAGCUGGGAUUACGCCUGUAAUACCAGCACUUUGGGA